rnacentral:rRNA from 1 species
UUCCAGACUCCUACGGGAGGCAGCAGUGGGGAAUAUUGCACAAUGGGGGGAACCCUGAUGCAGCGACGCCGCGUGAGGGAAGACGGCCUUCGGGUUGUAAACCUCUGUCGCAGGGGACGAAGAAGAUGACGGUACCCUGUGAGGAAGCCACGGCUAACUACGUGCCAGCAGCCGCGGUAAUACGGAGGAUGCGAGCGUUAUCCGGAUUUAUUGGGUUUAAAGGGUGCGUAGGCGGACAGUCAAGUCAGCGGUAAAAAUGCGGUGCUCAACGCCGUACAGCCGUUGAAACUGGCAGUCUUGAGUGGGCGAGAAGUAUGCGGAAUGCGUGGUGUAGCGGUGAAAUGCAUAGAUAUCACGCAGAACUCCGAUUGCGAAGGCAGCAUACCGGCGCCCGACUGACGCUGAGGCACGAAAGCGUGGGUAUCGAACAGGAUUAGAUACCCCUGUAA